GAUGAACGCUGGCGGCGUGCCUAAUACAUGCAAGUCGAGCGAACAGAUGAGGAGCUUGCUCCUCUGACGUUAGCGGCGGACGGGUGAGUAACACGUGGAUAACCUACCUAUAAGACUGGGAUAACUUCGGGAAACCGGAGCUAAUACCGGAUAAUAUAUUGAACCGCAUGGUUCAAUAGUGAAAGACGGUUUUGCUGUCACUUAUAGAUGGAUCCGCGCCGCAUUAGCUAGUUGGUAAGGUAACGGCUUACCAAGGCAACGAUGCGUAGCCGACCUGAGAGGGUGAUCGGCCACACAGGAACUGAGACACGGUCCAGACUCCUACGGGAGGCAGCAGUAGGGAAUCUUCAGCAAUGGGCGAAAGCCUGACGGAGCAACGCCGCGUGAGUGAUGAAGGUCUUCGGAUCGUAAAACUCUGUUAUUAGGGAAGAACAAAUGUGUAAGUAACUAUGCACGUCUUGACGGUACCUAAUCAGAAAGCCACGGCUAACUACGU
rnacentral:rRNA from 1 species